CACACAAGCAUUCUGGGAUAAGUUACACACACUGGGGGCUGAGGCAAAUCUCACACACCUGCACAUACACACACACUAGCAUCUGCAUGGAUGUACACACACACACAGGUCCCACGGUAAAUCUCUCUCACACACACACAGGUCCCAAGGUAAAUUACACACACUGGAAUCCUGGGGGUAAACGACCCAGGCAUGCGUGCAGACACACUGUGGUUCCAGGAGUAAAUCACACAGCUGGGACUCUACGCACCACACCAGCUUUUUCCAAACCAACCCGCUGACAAAUAUCACGCAAAGUGAAAGGCCAGGCACUGAGCGGAUAAGGAGACCUGAGUUCUGUUCUUGGCUCUACCACUGAACUGCUAUAUAACCUUGGGCAAGUCCCCUCUGUGGUCAACUAUUUGUUUAUUCAGACAGUGAGCGCUUUUGAGCAGGGACUGUAUCUCACUUUGUGUCUAUGCAGCAAGGGGGCCCACAUCUCAGUCACCGUGGGUCAAUGCAGCACCAGGAAAAAUGAAGCCUUAAUCUCUGUCAUGGGACACCCUGCGUGGCCCUGCCAUCUCUGUCUCCUCCUGCUGGGGACUUGCGCUCAGCACCACAUCACCUGAUGGAAUGAGAGGAGAGAGAAUCCAGAGAACACUGACUGCAGAUUUGACGAAACGCAAAGAAGGUACCAAUGUGAGAUUUCUAAAGAUAGCUACAGCACUUGACCCAAGGUUUAAGAAUCUGAAGAGCCUUCUAAAAUAUGAGAGGGACGGGGUUUGGAGCAUGCUUUCAGAAGUCUUAAAAGAGCAACACUCCGAUGCGGAAACUACAGAACCCAAACCACCAAAAAAGAAAAUCAACCUUCUGCUGGUGGCAUCUGACUCAGAUGAUGAAAAUGAACAUGUGUUGGUGUGCACUGCUUUGGAUCGUUAUCAGGAAGAACCCAUCAUCAGCAUGGAUGCAUGUCCUCUGGAAUGGUGGUUGAAACAUGAAGGGACAUAUGAAUCUUUAGCGCAAAUGGCACAUAAAUAUCUUGCAACCCUGGCUACAAUAGUGCCAUGUGAAUGUCUGUUCUCACUUGCAGGUGACACUGUAAAUAAGAAGCGGGCAGCAUUAUUUCCCGUAAAUAUAAACAAACUUGUCUAAAUGAUUUGCUGAACAAGAAGCAGGACUGAAUGAACGUUCAGGCUCUAAAGUUUUACAUUGUUUUGUUUUUGACUGCAGUUAUAUAACAAAAAAAAUUCUACAUUUGUAAGUUGCGCUUUCACGAUAAAGAGAUUGCGCUAUGGUACUUGUAUGAGGUGAACUGAAAAAUACUAAUUUUUUUGUUUAUCAUUUUUACAGUGAAAAUCUCUGUAAUAAAAAUAAUGUAAAGUGAGCACUGUACACUUUGUAGUAACUGAAAUCAAUAUAUUUGAAAAUAUAGAAAAACAUCCAAAAUAUUUAAUACAUUUCAAUUGGUAUUCUAUUGUUUAACAGUGUGAUUAAAACCGCAUUUAAUCGUGAUUAAUUUUUUGAGUUAAUUGCGUGAGUCAACUGCGAUUAAUCAACAGCCCUACUUUGUAUAUUUUGACAUGUGGAUAAUUUGUAUUUUAACUGUUAUAAGCUUUAACUUUUUGAAUCUUUGUGUCUAUUGUCAUUUAAUAAUUAUUGCCUCCUGCCCAAGUUGUCUGAUUCCCUCAUAAUUUCCUGUAACUUUGAAAAUUUAAAUCAAUAAAAACAAAAAAUGCUUAAAAACAAACUGAUAUUAUCUGUCUACAUUAUAAAAAAAAAUGAAAAUCAAAUUCUGCCAAGCUUAAUUAUAAUACAGUCUUUAAUUACAUGAUCACAUACACUUUUUUCCACAGGACCCCUGUCUCCUUUAGUGCAUAGGAUGGUCUGUGUCAUGGGGAUGAGUCAGGGUUUUGUAACAAAGGCGGCUGUACGACAGUUGGCUCAUUUGUCGCUGAAGUCGGAAGGUGUACAGAGAAUGAGGCAAGGGAUUGAAGGAAGAGGUCUCUUGGUUGAGGCAGUUAAAUGCCGCCCUAGAGAAAUAGAUUCUGUUCUUGCCUCUGCCAUAGAGUUCCUAUGUGAUGCUAGGCAAGUCACUAAACCAAAUUUUCACAGGUGGCCAUUGUGUGUUUCUCAUUUUCUGGGUCCCCAACCUGAGUCACCAGGGGUCAGAGCUGCAGAUGUGCUGAGCACUCCGCUGUAACUUAGAUCAAUAGCUGUGCUUUGAUAAUAUCCAGUGCUAUAAAAAUGCUAAGUAAUCUGGGCCUGGCAAUCUCAAAUUUGAAACCCAAAUUUGGUAGAGACUUUUUGAUAACUUUGACCUUCAUUCCAUAGAUCUAAAGUGGGGAUAAUACUAUUUCACCUCACAGGGGUUUAUGAAGAGAAAUGCAUUAAUGUUUGUAAAAAACUAAGAUAUAUGAUGAAAGCAGCAUAAAAAAGUCCAUGA